rnacentral:rRNA from 1 species
CGGACGGGUGAGUAAUGUCUGGGAAACUGCCUGAUGGAGGGGGAUAACUAUUGGAAACGGUAGCUAAUACCGCAUAACGUCGCAAGACCAAAGAGGGGGACCUUCGGGCCUCUUGCCAUCGGAUGUGCCCAGAUGGGAUUAGCUAGUAGGUGGGGUAACGGCUCACCUAGGCGACGAUCCCUAGCUGGUCUGAGAGGAUGACCAGCCACACUGGAACUGAGACACGGUCCAG